AUGAAGGUAUUUACUAAUGAUCCAAUUGACUACAGAUCAUUUAUCAGUUCAUUCGAACAUAUGAUAGAGAGCAAAAUUGAGCAUGCAAAGGACAAAUUGUACUAUCUGGAGCAAUAUACAUCUGGUCAGGCCAGAGAGCUGGUUAAGACAUGUCUCUUCUUAGAUGCAGAUAUAGGCUUUGCAAGGGCCAAAGAAUCGCUCCAAGAGCACUUUGGAAAUGAGUACCAAGUCUCCAAUGCAUACAUUAAAAAGGCAUUGACAUGGCCCUCCAUUCGAUCUGAGGAUUCACAAACCCUGAAAUCAUAUGCUCUGUACCUCAGAGGUUGCUUGAAUGGUAUGAAUGAAAUUGCCUACAUGGAUGAAUUAAAUCUCGCUUCUAAUUUGAAAUUGUUAGUCAGCAAAUUGCCCUACAAGUUGAGAGGGGGAUGGAGAGUUGAAGUAUGCAAGUUUCAAGAAACUACAAACAGCAGAGCCACAUUCGGAACCUUAGUUGAGUUUAUCGAAAGACAAGUCAAAAUCUUGACAGAUCCUGUCUUUGGUGAUAUACAAGAUCCCUCACCAAAAGCACAAGGUCUAAGGCCCAUUCACUCAAGUUCCGUGAAAUCCAAAUUCAGUGACAAGGGCUUCACAACCAAUGCAGCAACCAUUGAUGUUAUCCCCACUUAUCCCAAACAGAGGAAUAGCGCGUCACCAGUCCAACAUAGGCCAUUCUGUCUGUUUUGCUCAGGAGAACAUCUACUGGCAAGCUGUUCUUGGUUUAAAAAGAAACGUCACACUGACAAGAUUACAUUCUUGAAAGAAAGAGGUAUCUGUUUUGCAUGUCUCUUAACAGGUCAUAUGAGCAAGGGCUGCAACCAGCGUCAGUCAUGCACCAUUUGCAAGAGGGCGCAUCCUACUGUACUGCACAUAGGACAAGUGGAGCAGAACAAAGAAGCAGAAAAACAGGAAACAAAUAAGGAGGCAGCCAAGGAACCCAACAGGGUGAAGAACACAGGCCUUGUGUCCCUCGAAACAUGCAGUCAAACUGGGGCCAGUGAAGAACAGUGUCUGAUGUCCAUCGUACCUGUAAAGGUAAAAUCAAACAAGGGCAGCACAGUUAUACAAGCUUAUGCGUUUCUGGACCCCGGCAGCUCUGCCACCUUUUGUACUGAUAGAUUAAUGCGACAACUAAAUGUACAAGGGAAAAGAACAAGCAUCAUGCUGCGCACAAUGGGCCAGGAGAAAACUGUGUCUACUAAUAUCAUCACUGGACUGGAAGUAAGUGGACUUCAUGACAACGGGUUCAUAACUCUGCCAGAGACAUACACACAAACAAAGAUUCCUGUAACAAAGAGUAACAUACCCAACCAGAAGUCUCUAUCAAAGUGGCCUUAUCUUAAAGAUGUAAAAAUUUCCACUAUUGAGGCAGGCAUUGAUUUGCUGAUAGGCACAAAUGCACCCAAAGCAAUAGAGCCCUGGCAAAUCAUAAACAGUGAAGGAGACGGCCCAUAUUUAAUGAAAACACUUCUUGGGUGGGUAGUGAAUGGCCCAGUAGGGACAGGAUCUAACAAUGAAAUUCAGUCUCAUACAGUCAACCGAAUUUCAGUACAUAACCUGCAGGAGAUGCUGAUUGCUCAGUACAAUACUGAUUUCAGUGAGAAUUUGUGCGAAGAGGUGAAGGAAAUGUCCAUUGCAGACAAACAGUUUCUGAAAAUCGCAGAUGAAUCUGCCAAAAUUGUGGAUGGACAUUACAGUCUCAAGUUACCAUUUAGAAAGGAUCAUGCCAUAUUGCCUAAUAACCGUAGCCUUGCCGAGCAACGGCUCCAAAGCCUGAAAAGGAAAUUCAAUAGGAACCAGUCAUUCAAAGCAGAAUACACCUCAUUCAUGACUGACACGAUCAGCAAAGGAUAUGCAGAAAUUGUGCCAGAGGGGCAGCUGACUAGAAAGGUGUGGUACCUGCCCCACCAUGGAGUUUACCACCCCAAGAAAGGAAAAUUAAGAGUUGUGUUUGAUUGUGGAGCAUCCUUCUGUGGAAAAGCAUUGAAUGCAGAAUUACUCAAAGGGCCUGACUUAACCAACAGUCUUAUAGAUGUGCUCAACAGAUUUCGUCAGGAGCCAAUAGGACUGAUGGCAGAUAUCACUGCCAUGUUCCAUCAAGUGAAAGUCUCAGACAGUGAUGCUGACUUCCUCAGGUUUCUGUGGUGGCCAGAUGGAGACAUAUCACAACCUCCUUUAGAACACAGAAUGACUGUCCACCUCAUUGGGGAAACAUCUUCCCCCAGCUGUGCAAGCUAUGCACUCAGGAGAACAGCUAAGGACAACAGAGAGCACUUCAGGCCCGAGGUAACAGAUACAGUUCUGCAAAACUUUUAUGUUGAUGAUCUGUUGAAAUCAGUGCCCACAGCCCAGGAGGCAAUGCAACUCAUCACCGACAUCCCACCGCUGCCACCAGAGGAGGGACUCCAGACCGUAUUUUGUGAAGUGGAAGCAAUCUCGAACAGUCGGCCCCUCACAACAGUUACCACUGACCCUCAAGACUUGCAUCCCCUCUCACCAAAUGAUCUCUUACUGCUCAAGGCAGAGCCAACUCUCCCACCAGGAACAUUUGAUAAGACACCAGACGACGCUGGAGGCAGAUUCAAUACUUGGCCAACCUCUUCUGGAGACGUUGGACACUAG
rnacentral:lncRNA from 1 species